GCUCACCAAGGGGAUUGUUUAGUUUUCCCUUCAAAGAGAACCAGUUCCAGAGCAAAGAGGAGGAUUCAACUCCCAUCAAGGAAGAACAGCCAAGAGCCGAGUGUAUAUUAUGGACCUGAGAUCCCUGCACUGAGAAGCUCCUAGAAGCAGGAGACUGAGAUAGAGAGAGGAAGCUGUAACCCUGAAGAUGCUUAAAUACAGACCAGAAGAGGAGUUUGGGGCUUGACACCUGACAUCUUAACACCAGUUCCUGUUUCUUGAGGAAGGAAGAGGUAAAAUAAAUCAGCGUUUACUGUUUCCUUCUCCAUCCCCGGAAGUCCUGAUGAAGACCCUCUCAGCUUCAACUUGAACGUGAAUAUGAGCAACUGAUCAUCUGUUCUGCAGUCAGCCCCUGGCCUGAUUCUGACUCAGGGUAUUGACCUUCUC